UAGAAGCUUCGGAAAAGUACAACCAUAUCAGUAGUUGCAGAACGGAUUCUAGUUGGAGGAGUUCCAUAGCAACAAUAUCUGGAAAUUAUCAUAAUGUUAGGUAAUUACUAUGCAAUUACAAAAUAUACCUCAUUCCAGUAUUUGCAAAAU
ensembl:ncRNA R151.17 ncRNA